rnacentral:rRNA from 1 species
UGCCGUGGGCGUUGGAAGAUUGAGAGGGGCUGCUCCUAGUACGAGAGGACCGGAGUGGACGCACCGCUGGUGUUCGGGUUGUGAUGCCAAUUGCAUUGCCCGGUAGCUACGUGCGGAAAAGAUAAGCGCUGAAAGCAUCUAAGCGCGAAACUUGCCUCGAGAUGAGUCUUCCCUUGGGCCUUGAGCCCACUGAAGGAACGUUUAAGACUAAGACGUUGAUAGGCUGGGUGUGUAAGCGUAGCGAUACGUUGAGCUAACCAGUACUAAUGAUCCGUGAGACUUAACCUUACAACACCGAAGGUGUUU